rnacentral:rRNA from 1 species
AGAUAGCUGGUUCUCCCCGAAAGCUAUUUAGGUAGCGCCUCGUGAAUUCAUCUCCGGGGGUAGAGCACUGUUUCGGCUAGGGGGCCAUCCCGGCUUACCAACCCGAUGCAAACUGCGAAUACCGGAGAAUGUUAUCACGGGAGACACACGGCGGGUGCUAACGUCCGUCGUGAAGAGGGAAACAACCCAGACCGCCAGCUAAGGUCCCAAAGUCAUGGUUAAGUGGGAAACGAUGUGGGAAGGCCCAGACAGCCAGGAUGUUGGCUUAGAAGCAGCCAUCAUUUAAAGAAAGCGUAAUAGCUCACUGGUCGAGUCGGCCUGCGCGGAAGAUGUAACGGGGCUAAACCAUGCACCGAAGCUGCGGCAGCGACGCUGAUGCGUUGUUGGGUAGGGGAGCGUUCUGUAAGCCUGCGAAGGUGGCCUGUGAGGGUUGCUGGAGGUAUCAGAAGUGCGAAUGCUGACAUAAGUAACGAUAAAGCGGGUGAAAAGCCCGCUCGCCGGAAGACCAAGGGUUCCUGUCCAACGUUAAUCGGGGCAGGGUGAGUCGACCCCUAAGGCGAGGCCGAAAGGCGUAGUCGAUGGGAAACGGGUUAAUAUUCCCGUACUUGGUGUUACUGCGAAGGGGGGACGGAGAAGGCUAUGUUGGCCGGGCGACGGUUGUCCCGGUUUAAGCGUGUAGGUGUGUGUUCCAGGUAAAUCCGGUUCACUUUAACACUGAGGCGUGAUGACGAGGCACUACGGUGCUGAAGCAACAAAUGCCCUGCUUCCAGGAAAAGCCUCUAAGCAUCAGGUAACAUCAAAUCGUACCCCAAACCGACACAGGUGGUCAGGUAGAGAAUACCAAGGCGCUUGAGAGAACUCGGGUGAAGGAACUAGGCAAAAUGGUGCCGUAACUUCGGGAGAAGGCACGCUGACACGUAGGUGAAGUGAUUUACUCAUGGAGCUGAAGUCAGUCGAAGAUACCAGCUGGCUGCAACUGUUUAUUAAAAACACAGCACUGUGCAAACACGAAAGUGGACGUAUACGGUGUGACGCCUGCCCGGUGCCGGAAGGUUAAUUGAUGGGGUCAGCGCAAGCGAAGCUCCUGAUCGAAGCCCCGGUAAACGGCGGCCGUAACUAUAACGGUCCUAAGGUAGCGAAAUUCCUUGUCGGGUAAGUUCCGACCUGCACGAAUGGCGUAAUGAUGGCCAGGCUGUCUCCACCCGAGACUCAGUGAAAUUGAACUCGCUGUGAAGAUGCAGUGUACCCGCGGCAAGACGGAAAGACCCCGUGAACCUUUACUAUAGCUUGACACUGAACAUUGAGCCUUGAUGUGUAGGAUAGGUGGGAGGCUUUGAAGUGUGGACGCCAGUCUGCAUGGAGCCGGCCUUGAAAUACCACCCUUUAAUGUUUGAUGUUCUAACGUGGACCCGUGAUCCGGGUUGCGGACAGUGUCUGGUGGGUAGUUUGACUGGGGCGGUCUCCUCCUAAAGAGUAACGGAGGAGCACGAAGGUUGGCUAAUCCUGGUCGGACAUCAGGAGGUUAGUGCAAUGGCAUAAGCCAGCUUGACUGCGAGCGUGACGGCGCGAGCAGGUGCGAAAGCAGGUCAUAGUGAUCCGGUGGUUCUGAAUGGAAGGGCCAUCGCUCAACGGAUAAAAGGUACUCCGGGGAUAACAGGCUGAUACCGCCCAAGAGUUCAUAUCGACGGCGGUGUUUGGCACCUCGAUGUCGGCUCAUCACAUCCUGGGGCUGAAGUAGGUCCCAAGGGUAUGGCUGUUCGCCAUUUAAAGUGGUACGCGAGCUGGGUUUAGAACGUCGUGAGACAGUUCGGUCCCUAUCUGCCGUGGGCGCUGGAGAACUGAGGGGGGCUGCUCCUAGUACGAGAGGACCGGAGUGGACGCAUCACUGGUGUUCGGGUUGUCAUGCCAAUGGCACUGCCCGGUAGCUAAAUGCGGAAGAGAUAAGUGCUGAA